rnacentral:rRNA from 1 species
AUGGCUCAGAUUGAACGCUGGCGGCAGGCCUAACACAUGCAAGUCGAGCGGAUGACGGGAGCUUGCUCCUUGAUUCAGCGGCGGACGGGUGAGUAAUGCCUAGGAAUCUGCCUGGUAGUGGGGGACAACGUUUCGAAAGGAACGCUAAUACCGCAUACGUCCUACGGGAGAAAGCAGGGGACCUUCGGGCCUUGCGCUAUCAGAUGAGCCUAGGUCGGAUUAGCUAGUUGGUGGGGUAAUGGCUCACCAAGGCGACGAUCCGUAACUGGUCUGAGAGGAUGAUCAGUCACACUGGAACUGAGACACGGUCCAGACUCCUACGGGAGGCAGCAGUGGGGAAUAUUGGACAAUGGGCGAAAGCCUGAUCCAGCCAUGCCGCGUGUGUGAAGAAGGUCUUCGGAUUGUAAAGCACUUUAAGUUGGGAGGAAGGGCAGUAAGUUAAUACCUUGCUGUUUUGACGUUACCGACAGAAUAAGCACCGGCUAACUCUGUGCCAGCAGCCGCGGUAAUACAGAGGGUGCAAGCGUUAAUCGGAAUUACUGGGCGUAAAGCGCGCGUAGGUGGUUUGUUAAGUUGGAUGUGAAAGCCCCGGGCUCAACCUGGGAACUGCAUCCAAAACUGGCAAGCUAGAGUACGGUAGAGGGUGGUGGAAUUUCCUGUGUAGCGGUGAAAUGCGUAGAUAUAGGAAGGAACACCAGUGGCGAAGGCGACCACCUGGACUGAUACUGACACU